rnacentral:misc_RNA from 1 species
AAGUCGUAACAAGGUUUCCGUAGGUGAACCUGCGGAAGGAUCACUAGUGAUUUAAAUCGGAGAGUGUCUUCAUUGACCUCUUCACCCUUCACAUCCACAUACACCUGUGCACUGUUUGACUUUUUGCUGAAAAGGGUUAAUACCUCUAUUAAGCGAGUCAUCAUUUUUUAUAAACAAAACCUAAGUCUUAUGAAUGUCAAACGUUAUUAUAAACAAAAUAAAACUUUCAACAACGGAUCUCUUGGUUCUC